GGAUUAUGAUGUGGACAUUGUCUCAAAAGGUCCUUAAACCUCUCCCAUAUCUCGAACAAGGACUCAUUGUCUUCUUGAGUAAAUGAAGUGAUUUUUUACCAAAGCUU